CACUAUGAGAACAGAACAGAAAACAGAACGCGACUGAGCUACUGGCAGCGUUCAUCAGAGAAAGGAGCAGGCGGAGGGGGGCCAAGGGAAGCGAGGAGUGGGCACAAGCGCCACCAGCCGCGGCCGAGUGUGCAAGACGAGGAGCGAGGCAGCGAGCAAGGAGGGGAAACGAGAAAGGGGACGCAGAGGCGAGCGGGCUCGGGCACCCGCCAAAGAGACACAGGCCCCUGAGGAGCUGGGGCCGCGGUGAUGUGAGGCCGACUAAGGACAGUCAGCAGUGGCAUCAGGGGACACCAGGGCCGAUGACCUGUCCAAGCCCCGGGCCCCUCGACCACUGGAGCCAGCGCCUGCCUCAGACACCACAGUGCAGACGCCCCCCCCCGCCUUUUUUUUUCUUUCUGUUAAAAGUAUUUUGUCUUGUUUUAAUAUUUCAUCAGCUUUAUAGGGUUACAAUUGUCUUAAAUAUUUCUGCUUUAAAUACAAUCUGCACAUAAUGUUAUAAAA